UACGUAGGGUGCAAGCGUUGUCCGGAAUUAUUGGGCGUAAAGAGCUCGUAGGCGGUCUGUUGCGUCGGCUGUGAAAACCCGGGGCUCAACCCCCGGGCCUGCAGCCGAUACGGGCAGACUAGAGUUCGGCAGGGGGAGACUGGAAUUCCUGGUGUAGCGGUGAAAUGCGCAGAUAUCAGGAGGAACACCGGUGGCGAAGGCGGGUCUCUGGGCCGAUACUGACGCUGAGGAGCGAAAGCGUGGGGAGCGAACAGG
rnacentral:rRNA from 1 species